rnacentral:lncRNA from 1 species
UAUGUUUAAUAUCUCUAAGAGCAACAAAAUCAUUGGUUCCUUCGUAUCAUCAAAGAUCCUUUCCUAAAACACAUCAAAGCAGAAAUCUGUGAAGAACAUCUGGGGAUCAGCACUGGCAAAAUACAAGGAAGAAGUAGGAACUGAAGGUGAAGAUGCUAAGGAAGGUCAGGUAAAGAUCACAAAGAAAAACAGUAAAGAAGAUUUUCAGAACCAAGAACAGCUAGCUUAUUCUGAGUUUAAAAGACCACAUAAAAUAAUUGUGAAUCUGAUGCCACACCUUCCCUACUUACACAGGAAAGGACAGACUUAACCUCUUCUUGCUUUUACCCUUCUCUGAAAAGCUUCAAAAAGACUCUGC